rnacentral:rRNA from 1 species
UACGUAGGGUCCGAGCGUUGUCCGGAAUUACUGGGCGUAAAGAGCUCGUAGGUGGUUUGUCGCGUUGUUCGUGAAAACUCACAGCUCAACUGUGGGCGUGCGGGCGGAUACGGGCAGACUAGAGUACUGCAGGGGAGGCUGGAAUUCCUGGUGUAGCGGUGGAAUGCGCAGAUAUCAGGAGGAACACCGGUGGCGAAGGCGGGGUCUCUGGGCAGUAACUGACGCUGGAGGAGCGAAAGCGUGGGGAGCGAACAGG